AAGAUCAUACUUCAUAGGAUCAUUUCUAUAGUAUGAUUAGCGAGUUCACUCACCGAACUUCGCAAAAAUCCCAGCCACGAUGAUGUGUGAAGGUGUUUUUUCCUGAGCGUGAAGCGGACUGGAUUUAGGGCUUCGGCUUUUAUCGAGUCAUUGAUGAUCGCACCUCUCGCCAUUGCGGCGACGGGAAGGAAAGAACUCGUUCUGAGUGGU